AUGCUUCACCCAGCAGCAUCUAUUUUUAAAUUGGAAAUGAUACAGAGAUUUAAUGUGGCCCCUUUACACAAGAAUGACAUGCUAAUUUGUGAAGCAUUUCCCAUUUUG